GAAAGUUGAUCGUGUUUAUGACGUCGAAUAUCGACGUCAUAAACACCAAAUUUGAUCGUGUUUAUGACGUCGAAUAUCGACGUCAUAAACACCAAAU
rnacentral:miRNA from 1 species